rnacentral:lncRNA from 1 species
ACAGGGAUACUGGAGUGAUGGAGGUAGAUAUGUAUAAGGGACAGGGAUACUGGAGUGAUGGAGGUAGAUAUGUAUAGGGGGAAGGGGACAGGGAUACUGGAGUGAUGGAGGUAGAUAUGUAUAGGGGACAGGGAUACUGGAGUGAUGGAGGUAGAUAUGUAUAAGGGACAGGGAUACUGGAGUGAUGGAGGUAGAUAUGUAUAGGAGACAGGGAUACUGUAGUGAUGGAGGUAGAUAUGUAUAGGGGGAAGGGGACAGGGAUACUGGAGUGAUGGAGGUAGAUAUGUAUAGGGGGAAUGGGACAGGGAUACUGGAGUGAUGGAGGUAGAUAUGUA